GAGGAAAUGGGGAGGGAAAACACAGUGACUUGGAGUAAAGAUGCGUCCCUUCUAAUAAAUUGAGAACGGCGGAGGAACUGUAUCAACCGGGAAAGCCGAGCUUCAUUUUACACCAGGAGUGGAGUUCGGGAGGAGAAGGCAGACAGAUAGACUUAUUGAGGUGUGUGGUACUGUCUUCAACAUUUGGAUUGCAGCACUGGACAAAAGUAGACGAUGAGAAAACCCUGUCCCGGAGCGUUGCUCAAUUUCCACCAUCUGAAAAGCCAGUUCACGUUUUGAGUGUAAGAAUAGCACAACUUAAACUUUUAAAACCUCAAGAGAUUCUGUUUUAGGAUCAGGGAUUCCCGCCACUUUCUAAAUGUGUUUUCUAGCAUUAGUAGUUAGGUCUCUGAAAAUGAACUCAGCAAUAGAUAGUACCAGAAGGUCAGGCUUCUCUCAGAUAAGAUGAACUGGAAGAGAAAACAGAUGGACAGAUGGAUGUAAGAACUGAUUUAUUUUACGAAAGCUAAGAAGCCAUUACCAAAGAGUUCCAGCAACUGAUAGGCAUCAAAUCCCAGUUCUAUUGAAAGUGCAACCAGGGCCCACAUUCUUCUAUCUCUUUAUCUUGUAAGUAAAAGGGUAGAAGAGACAUUUUCUGGGGGGAGACGGCAGUUUCCAUAUGCUUCUUGUUUUGGGAAUGGCCAGAUCUGA